AUACGUAGGUGGCAAGCGUUGUCCGGAAUUAUUGGGCGUAAAGCGCGCGCAGGUGGUUCCUUAAGUCUGAUGUGAAAGCCCCCGGCUCAACCGGGGAGGGUCAUUGGAAACUGGGGAACUUGAGUGCAGAAGAGGAUAGUGGAAUUCCAAGUGUAGCGGUGAAAUGCGUAGAGAUUUGGAGGAACACCAGUGGCGAAGGCGACUGUCUGGUCUGUAACUGACACUGAGGCGCGAAAGCGUGGGGAGAAAACAGGAUUAGAUCCCCUGGUAGUCCACGCCGUAAACGAUGAGUGCUAAGUGUUGGGGGGUUUCCGCCCCUCAGUGCUGCAGCUAACGCAUUAAGCACUCCGCCUGGGGAGUACGGUCGCAAGACUGAAACUCAAAGGAAUUGACGGGG
rnacentral:rRNA from 1 species